GGGAUGUUGUAGGAGAAGAGGUUGGAAAUAACCGAGAGGUCUGUGGUAGGGAUCUCAUAAGAGGCGGUAGACCAUAUAGUUAAAGUCGUCAAUACUUGUGAAGCCAGUGAAGAGAGCCUUUGUAAGAUAUAAUAGCACGAAGGUAGUCGAAGGCAUGUAGCUAGUGAAAGGUGGUGGUGGCAUGGGUAGGCACGUUGGCCUUGCCGUAAAGGGAGAUCGGGCGGAUGGUGAAGUCUUUGGGGGCAAAAUCGGUGCAAUAGCACUUCUUGUACUUGAGGAUGGGCUCAAUGGCAUUGGAGUGUUAGGCAACAGAGAGGCGAUGGAUAGAUAUCUCAUAGAUACAAUACUUGUAAAAAGAUGUAGCAUUACUCAUAAAACUUUUUGAAGGCGACAACAUGCUUGUUGGGGUUGCGCUCCUAGAAAAGGUAGUUGAUGGUGGUUUCUAGGAGGUUCGAGUAGGAAUCAGGGUUAGGAUUUGAAAAAGAGACGAAAAGAUGGGAGAGAUGUUAGGAGAGGUGUAGGCCAGCGGACAUAGAUUUUAGCCUGUUAGUCCAAAGAGAGCGAGGAGGGGGGUUUAAUGGAGGAUGGAGGUUUUGCGCUUUAAGGAGAUUUGGUUGGACUUAAGGGGGCACCAUGAUGAAUUUCCCAAUUUCAUAUGGAUUGGUAUGAGGUGAACCAAAAAAUAAUAUUUAUUUAGUUAGGGGUUUGCUAAUAAUUUUGCCUAUCUUUGCAUGGCUGACAAAUUAUACCUAGUUUGUGAUCCAGGGCUCAUGAGUGAUCAAGUCUCUUCCAAGAACUCACGAGUAAUUUUUCUCGUCAGAUUAAUGGGAAUAACAUUUGCCGAUUUUGAUAGUGGUCGUAACAUAAGAACUAAUAAGUAAUUCGUAUUCAUCCAAGAUAAAAUUUGAUCCAAUCCCCUCUGUCUUUAUGGCGAUUGAUUCCUCUGUUGCUAAGAUCUAUGGCCGAUUCUCACGUUUCUCGGAAAGAUCUUCCGAUUUUUGGUCAAGAAGCUAUGGAAGGGCGAUUCAGAAAGACUGCAAGUUUUUCCAAGAAGAUCGAGAUUGACGAUUCCUGACCAAAGAAAAGCUACGAACAAGCGACAAUUGGCGCGCAGACCACCGUAAGCAAGAAGGGGUUCAAUCAAUUUAUCUGGCUUGUUAAAAUGGAGCAAUCACUUUCCAAAUUAAAGACAAAGAAGGGGAGACUAAUCCGGCCGUUGUCUUAGAUAUCGGAUGAGAUCAGAGCCGUCCAUAUUCUGUUGCUUGCGGGACGUCUGUGACGCCCCGUCUAUAAGAAGGCCUAGACUGGGUCACUUCUUCUUUGUCCUUCCGCUUCCACUUACUCUCAUUACGCGAGGAGAGGCUAGAGGAGAGAGGCAUGCCACACAACCAAGGUCGAGAACUCACCAUCGCCACACGCCUCGCGGUGGGCCUUCGCGAUCUCGUCUCCAUCUUAUCCAUCGCCACUGUUGGAUUCAUGCUCGCAGAUCCGCCGCCAGGCGACCUCGAUCUGAGGUCGGCGGCGUCCGUUCUUUUCAGUCUUCUCGCCUUCACUGCCGGCAUGCUGCUUUUGUACGGCGCCAUCGCCGGCAUCCGUAUGCCGCUGCUCUACGUGGAAUUCCUGACGUUGGUGGCCUUCUCGUCGUCGUGCGCCGUUCUGAUUCUCUACCCAUCCCCUGCUGGCCGCGCUUCGCGGGCACUUCCGGCAGCCAUCGACGUCGUCGAGGAUGCGGUCGCGGGUUGUCCGGUGCCUUCCUUAUUGAAUAAUAUAUUCUUUCCUCUGUUCUGGAGGAAAAAAGUUAGUAGGCCUGGGUGCCUCUAAGGGCCUUGUAUCUGUUUUAUUUUUAGUUUGCUUUUGGUUUUGUGAUCAAUGUUCUUCUUCUUCUUUGGGUUUACGGUAGGUAGAAUUGAGGUGAUUGAUUUUCUGUGACGAGAUCUACUCUUCUCCUUCAAGAGGAAACACACAAAGCCCUCCGAUUUGACUUUGAUCACAUGGUUACUGACGAUCAUGGCAGUAGCACAGUUUGUCUUCCUUAGGAAAUCAUCCGAUAAUUCCACCAAGAAAGAAAGGAAAAAAAAAAAAAUACAUCAGAUAAAGCACCCGUGCAAGGCCUAAAUGAGACAAGAAAAAGGGAAUUGUUCGAAACUCUUAGCUGUGGUUACCUGUUUCUUUUUAAGCGAUGGAUAUGGGAUGCUAUUCAUUGGGAUUUUUUUUUUUUCCUUUUUUCUUCUUUUGUUUCAAGCAAGAGUAAAGAACGUUCUCUGAAAGAAUCUCUUGACAAUACAGAGUCAGAUUUCAGAUCACGAUGAUGCAGAAGCCACAUCGACAGAUAAUUUGUUCCCCUGGAUGGAAUUCUACUUGGAAUAGUAGAUGAAUUGUGAUGGAUAUGCCUUGUUAAGGUGCUAUGCAAGUAAAAUUUGUCAAAUCUAACUUCGUCGGGAUUAAAAUAAAAUAAAAGUCACUGCAUAAGCUGGUAACAUCCUCCUCCAAUUUCAUCUGCUUAGUCUUACGGGGCAAUCGAGAACAAUUAACUGAUUGCACUAGAACACUUGAUCUUAUCAAAGCAUCUGGAAUUCUAAUCAUAUCAUCCUUGCAAUCUUUGCCUUGAUCGUCUUACUUGGGUUGAUUUAUCAAUUUGUGGGUCGAUGCAGCUGUUUUAUUAUUUUGCGAACUUUUUUUUCUCCUUACAUUUUCUCUCCUUCAUCUUAUAUGAUAGCCACUGCUGCUGUCAAACGGGUGCCAGUCCUUGACGAUAAAGUGUCCGUACCAAUGGAUGUGGUGUUGCUACCCGGGUCUAUUUCCUCUCCAAGUCCGCGGCAAUCAAACAAAGUUUAUUCCGCGGGGCGGCUCCAGCUGGCCAAAGGCCAACGCGGCACUCUUACCAAAAGAAAAGAAAAGGCCAAUACGGCACCUCCAGUCUCCGUUGCUUCUGUGGACUCUGAGGCGAAAAGAAGGCAAGCGUCGCGGUACAGGAUUAAAAACGCUGGAACGUGGUGGAAGUAGGUUACACGUCAUGGACCCAUUUUUAAACAUAUUUUACCUUGACUUGUUUGGUUGAUCAUGCAAUGUUUUUUCCGUACUAAAAUAUAUCUUUUUUUUUAAAAAAAGUUAAUGUUUUGAUAGAUGAUAGUUGAAAAAAUAUUUUUUA